rnacentral:rRNA from 1 species
AACGAACGCUGGCGGCAUGCCUAACACAUGCAAGUCGAACGAGACCUUCGGGUCUAGUGGCGCACGGGUGCGUAACGCGUGGGAACCUGCCCUUAGGUUCGGAAUAACUCCCCGAAAGGGGUGCUAAUACCGGAUAAUGUCUUCGGACCAAAGAUCUAUCGCCUUUGGAUGGGCCCGCGUUGGAUUAGCUAGUUGGUAGGGUAAAAGCCUACCAAGGCGACGAUCCAUAGCUGGUCUGAGAGGAUGAUCAGCCACACUGGGACUGAGACACGGCCCAGACUCCUACGGGAGACAGCAGUGGGGAAUAUUGGACAAUGGGCGAAAGCCUGAUCCAGCAAUGCCGCGUGAGUGAUGAAGGCCUUAGGGUUGUAAAGCUCUUUUACCCGGGAUGAUAAUGACAGUACCGGGAGAAUAAGCUCCGGCUAACUCCGUG